UACGAAGGGGGCUAGCGUUGUUCGGAAUUACUGGGCGUAAAGCGCGCGUAGGCGGUCACACAAGUCAGGGGUGAAAUCCUUGGGCUCAACCCAAGAAUUGCCCUUGAAACUGUAUGACUAGAGUGUCGGAGGGGAUAGCGGAAUUCCUAAUGUAGAGGUGAAAUUCGUAGAUAUUAGGAGGAACACCGGUGGCGAAGGCGGCUAUCUGGACGACAACUGACGCUGAGGCGCGAAAGCACGGGGAUCAAACAGG
rnacentral:rRNA from 1 species